rnacentral:rRNA from 1 species
CGGCGGACGGGUGAGUAACGCGUGGGUAACCUGCCUCAUACAGGGGGAUAACAGUUGGAAACGGCUGCUAAUACCGCAUAAGCGCACAGUACCGCAUGGUACCGUGUGAAAAACUCCGGUGGUAUGAGAUGGACCCGCGUCCGAUUAGCUAGUUGGUGGGGUAACGGCCUACCAAGGCGACGAUCAGUAGCCGACCUGAGAGGGUGACCGGCCACAUUGGGACUGAGACACGGCCCAA